rnacentral:rRNA from 1 species
CGCCGCGUGCGGGAUGACGCUUUUCGGAGUGUAAACCGCUUUUCUUGGGGAAGAUGGAGGACGGUACCCGAGGAAGAAGGCCCGGCUAACUACGUGCCAGCAGCCGCGGUAAUACGUAGGGGCCGAGCGUUGUCCGGAGUUAUUGGGCGUAAAGCGCGCGCAGGCGGCUUCGCGCGCCCGACGUGAAAGCCCCCGGCUUAACCGGGGAGGGUCGUUGGGGACGGCGGAGCUUGAGGGCGGUAGAGGGUGGUGGAAUUCCCGGUGUAGUGGUGAAAUGCGUAGAGAUCGGGAGGAACACCUGUGGCGAAGGCGGCCACCUGGGCCGACCCUGACGCUGAGGCGCGAAGGCGUGGGGAGCGAACGGGAUUAGAUACCCCGGUAGUCCACGCAGUAAACGAUGCAGACUAGGCGUGGGUGGACUUGACCCCAUCCGUGCCGGAGCUAACGCGGGAAGUCUGCCGCCUGGGGAGUACGGCCGCAAGGCUAAAACUCAAAGGAAUUGACGG